rnacentral:rRNA from 1 species
UGGUCUUAGCUUGCUAAGGCUGAUGGCGACCGGCGCACGGGUGAGUAACGCGUGGGUAACCUGCCGUCUACUCUUGGACAGCCUUCUGAAAGGAAGAUUAAUACAAGAUGGCAUCAUGAGUUCACAUGUCCGCAUGAUUAAAGGUAUUUUCCGGUAGACGAUGGGGAUGCGUUCCAUUAGAUAGUAGGCGGGGUAACGGCCCACCUAGUCAACGAUGGAUAGGGGUUCUGAGAGGAAGGUCCCCACAUUGGAACUGAGACACGGUCCAAACUCC